AGCGUUGUUCGGAAUUACUGGGCGUAAAGCGCGCGUAGGCGGAUCUGCAAGUCGGUGGUGAAAUCCCGAGGCUCAACCUCGGAACUGCCUUCGAUACUGCGGGUCUCGAGUCCGGGAGAGGUGAGUGGAAUUCCUAGUGUAGAGGUGAACUUCGUAGAUAUUAGGAAGAACACCAGUGGCGAAGGCGGCUCACUGGCCCGGUACUGACGCUGAGGCGCGAAAGCGUGGGGAGCAAACAGG
rnacentral:rRNA from 1 species